CAUUAAUGAAAUUUAUGACUGGGGUUGUCGCUGGCCUUUAAAAACGGCAUGUGCACGCCCCUUUCACUAAUCCACACACACCUGUGCACCUUCGCGGGGGCUCUCGGGGAACCGACGCAAGUCGUAAGUACCGGAGCUCGCGUCCCUUUACACACCCCUUUGUAUGUCUUAAGAAUGUCUACUCGAUGUAAUAAAACGCAUCUAAUACAACUUUCAACAACGGAUCUCUUGGCUCUCGCAUCGAUGAAGAACGCAGCGAAAUGCGAUAAGUAAUGUGAAUUGCAGAAUUCAGUGAAUCAUCGAAUCUUUGAACGCACCUUGCGCCCUUUGGUAUUCCGAAGGGCACACCUGUUUGAGUGUCGUGAAAUUCUCAACCCUCUUCACUUUUUUGGUGAAGCCAGGGCUUGGACUUGGAGGCUUUGCCGGCUCUGCUCGGCUCCUCUCAAAUGCAUUAGUGCGUCUUGUUGCGACGUGCGCCUCGGUGUGAUAAUUAUCUACGCUGUGGUGUGCUUGCUUCUGUGGAGACGCGCUUUCAAACCGUCCGAAAGGACAACUUUCAUCGAACUUUGAC
rnacentral:rRNA from 1 species